rnacentral:rRNA from 1 species
UACAGAGGUCUCAAGCGUUGUUCGGAUUCAUUGGGCGUAAAGGGCGCGUAGGUGGCGCUGUACGUCGGGUGUGAAAUUUCGGAGCUUAACUCCGAAACUGCAUUUGAUACUGCGGUGCUCGAGGACUGGAGAGGAGACUGGAAUUUACGGUGUAGCAGUGAAAUGCGUAGAGAUCGUAAGGAAGACCAGUGGCGAAGGCGGGUCUCUGGACAGUUCCUGACACUGAGGCACGAAGGCCAGGGGAGCAAACGGG